rnacentral:lncRNA from 1 species
UCCCUAUGACGCUCUGAAUGCCCCAGCUCCCCUAGCUCUAUGUUACGAUCCCCCACCUCGUUAAGUAAGUCCCGGAAGUACUCCUGCCACCUCUGUUUGAUUUGAGAUUCCCCCAACAGCACUCUACCAUCCUCGCCCUUGAUACACCUAACUUGGUCUAGAUCGUGUGCCUUCCUCUCCCUCGCUUUAGCUAACCGGAAUAACUUCUUAUCCCCGCCUCUCUCCCCUAGCUCUUCGUACAUGCGACCGAACACCGCGUUUUUAGCUUCCGUGACUGCCAUCUUUGCUUCUUUCCUUGCCACCUUGUAGAUUGCCCUGUUCGCUCGCCGUUCAUCG